rnacentral:rRNA from 1 species
GUUAUUGUUUAUUUGAUACAUUAAAUGGAUAACUGUAGAAAAACUAGAGCUAAUACAUGCUAAGGCCGCAAGGUUGUAUUUAUUAGAUAUUCCGAUAAGGUGAAUCAUAAUAACUUCGCAAAUCUCAUCCAUGAUGAGAUAAAUCAUCCAAGUUUCUGCCCUAUCAUGCUUUCGUUGGUAGUGUAUUGGACUACCAUGGCUCUCACGGGUAACAGGGAAUUAGGGUUCGAUUCUGGAGAAGGAGCCUGAGAAACGGCUACUACAUCUACGGAAGGCAGCAGGCGCGUAAAUUACCCAAUCCUGACUCAGGGAGGUGGUGACAAGAUAUAACAACGAGACUUAUAAUCUCGAUUGUAGUGAGGGUAUUCUAAAUAGAACCUAUAGUACGAUUAGAGGGCAAGUCUGGUGCCAGCAGCCGCGGUAAUUCCAGCUCUAAUAGCGUAUAUUAAAGUUGCUGCAGUUAAAAAGCUCGUAGUUGGAUUUCAAGGAUUUUAUUCCCUUCCGGGAAUAUAUCCUACUAGUCAUU